UGGAAAGAAUACAACCUCGAACCACACAGGGACCCUGUGACAAUGUGAUCUCUGCCACUUUCUUGCUCUGUGAAUUGAGAGAGAUUAUUUCAGUUCUCUCGGUUUUCACUUUCUUAAUCCUUUCCUUAUUCAAUCUGUUUGUUUACCUUGCUCAGACAACACAAAAGAAGACACAGAAGCACCAUGGGCAAACCAUGGAACAAGAACUGGAAUGAAUAUCUAUUCCACUACCUGAACUAAAGACUGCAGACGGAGAAAGGGAAGACAGGGGUUUAACUGGCAAUUCAAAGUGAGGUGAUCAGCCUUCUGUUACAGAGUUAACUGUGUGUGAAAGAAUGUAAGAUUCAUGUAUACAUCUGACAGUGACAGCUGUAUGGCCACAGCUUCACAACUGGAGCUGCUGAUAAGACACCUACUCGGAGUAAUGAUGCAUAAUAUGGAAAUGCAAUAACCCAGACCUCGGUCUUGCUCUGUUGCCCAGGCUGUAGUGCAGAUGCAAGAU
rnacentral:lncRNA from 1 species